CGCUGGCGGCGUGCUUAACACAUGCAAGUCGAGCGAUGAAGUUCCUUCGGGAAAUGGAUUAGCGGCGGACGGGUGAGUAACACGUGGGUAACCUGCCUCAUAGAGGGGAAUAGCCUUUCGAAAGGAAGAUUAAUACCGCAUAAGAUUGUAAUGUCGCAUGACAUAGCAAUUAAAGGAGUAAUCCGCUAUGAGAUGGACCCGCGUCGCAUUAGCUAGUUGGUGAGGUAACGGCUCACCAAGGCGACGAUGCGUAGCCGACCUGAGAGGGUGAUCGGCCACAUUGGGACUGAGACACGGCCCAGACUCUUACGGGAGGCAGCAGUGGGGAAUAUUGCACAAUGGGGGAAACCCUGAUGCCAGCAACGCCGCGUGAGUGAUGAAGGUCUUCGGAUUGUAAAGCUCUGUCUUUAGGGACGAUAAUGACGGUACCUAAGGAGGAAGCCACGGCUAACUACGUGCCAGCCGCCGC
rnacentral:rRNA from 1 species